UGCAAGUCGAACGGUAGAGGGGGCAACCCCUUGAGAGUGGCGAACGGGUGAGUAAUAUAUCGGAACGUGCCCAGUCGUGGGGGAUAACGUAGUGAAAAUUACGCUAAUACCGCAUACGAUCUAAGGAUGAAAGCGGGGGAUCGCAAGACCUCGCGCGACUGGAGCGGCCGAUAUCAGAUUAGGUAGUUGGUGAGGUAAAGGCUCACCAAGCCAACGAUCUGUAGCUGGUCUGAGAGGACGACCAGCCACACUGGAACUGAGACACGGUCCAGACUCCUACGGGAGGCAGCAGUGGGGAAUUUUGGACAAUGGACGCAAGUCUGAUCCAGCCAUUCCGCGUGCAGGAUGAAGGCCCUCGGGUUGUAAACUGCUUUUGUACGGAACGAAAAGGUCUCUCCUAAUACGAGGGGCUCAUGACGGUACCGUAAGAAUAAGCACCGGCUAACUACGUGCCAGCAGCCGCGGUAAUACGUAGGGUGCAAGCGUUAAUCGGAAUUACUGGGCGUAAAGCGUGCGCAGGCGGUUAUGUAAGACAGAGGUGAAAUCCCCGGGCUCAACCUGGGAACUGCCUUUGUGACUGCAUAGCUAGAGUACGGUAGAGGGGGAUGGAAUUCCGCGUGUAGCAGUGAAAUGCGUAGAUAUGCGGAGGAACACCGAUGGCGAAGGCAAUCCCCUGGACCUGUACUGACGCUCAUGCACGAAAGCGUGGGGAGCAAACAGGAUUAGAUACCCUGGUAGUCCACGCCCUAAACGAUGUCAACUGGUUGUUGGGUCUUAACUGACUCAGUAACGAAGCUAACGCGUGAAGUUGACCGCCUGGGGAGUACGGCC
rnacentral:rRNA from 1 species